rnacentral:rRNA from 1 species
UACGGAGGAUCCAAGCGUUAUCCGGAAUCAUUGGGUUUAAAGGGUCCGUAGGCGGUUUGGUAAGUCAGUGGUGAAAGCCCAUCGCUCAACGGUGGAACGGCCAUUGAUACUGCUAAACUUGAAUUAUUAGGAAGUAACUAGAAUAUGUAGUGUAGCGGUGAAAUGCUUAGAGAUUACAUGGAAUACCAAUUGCGAAGGCAAGUUACUACUAAUGGAUUGACGCUGAUGGACGAAAGCGUGGGUAGCGAACAGG